rnacentral:rRNA from 1 species
AGUGAACGCUGGCGGUAGGCCUAACACAUGCAAGUCGAACGGCAGCACGGUAAGAGCUUGCUCUUACGGGUGGCGAGUGGCGGACGGGUGAGGAAUACAUCGGAAUCUACUUUUUCGUGGGGGAUAACGUAGGGAAACUUACGCUAAUACCGCAUACGACCUACGGGUGAAAGCAGGGGAUCUUCGGACCUUGCGCGAUUGAAUGAGCCGAUGUCGGAUUAGCUAGUUGGCGGGGUAAAGGCCCACCAAGGCGACGAUCCGUAGCUGGUCUGAGAGGAUGAUCAGCCACACUGGAACUGAGACACGGUCCAGACUCCUACGGGAGGCAGCAGUGGGGAAUAUUGUACAAUGGGCGCAAGCCUGAUCCAGCCAUACCGCGUGGGUGAAGAAGGCCUUCGGGUUGUAAAGCCCUUUUGUUGGGAAAGAAAAGCAGCAGGUUAAUACCCCGCUGUUCUGACGGUACCCAAAGAAUAAGCACCGGCUAACUUCGUG